rfam:Ornithorhynchus anatinus chromosome X1, whole genome shotgun sequence.
CAGUGUGAGUAGGUCACGUGUGGUGCAGCAUGAUAAUGGAAUAUGCUGCAUCGUGUGUGACCUCCCUACACUGC